rnacentral:rRNA from 1 species
GGAUAACACUUGGAAACAGGUGCUAAUACCGCAUAACCAUAGUUACCGCAUGGUAACUAUGUAAAAGGUGGCUAUGCUACCGCUUUUGGAUGGGCCCGCGGCGCAUUAGCUAGUUGGUGGGGUAAAGGCUUACCAAGGCAAUGAUGCGUAGCCGAACUGAGAGGUUGAUCGGCCACAUUGGGACUGAGACACGGCCCAAACUCCUACGGGAGGCAGCAGUAGGGAAUCUUCCACAAUGGGCGAAAGCCUGAUGGAGCAACGCCGCGUGGGUGAAGAAGGUCUUCGGAUCGUAAAACCCUGUUGUUAGAGAAGAAAGUGCGUGAGAGUAACUGUUCACGUUUCGACGGUAUCUAACCAGAAAGCCACGGCUAACUACGUGCCAGCAGCCGCGGUAAUACGUAGGUGGCAAGCGUUAUCCGGAUUUAUUGGGCGUAAAGGGAACGCAGGCGGUCUUUUAAGUCUGAUGUGAAAGCCCUCGGCUUAACCGGAGUAGUGCAUUGGAAACUGGGAGACUUGAGUGCAGAAGAGGAGAGUGGAACUCCAUGUGUAGCGGUGAAAUGCGUAGAUAUAUGGAAGAACACCAGUGGCGAAAGCGGCUCUCUGGUCUGUAACUGACGCUGAGGUUCGAAAGCGUGGGUAGCAAACAGGAUUAGAUACCCUGGUAGUCCACGCCGUAAACGAUGAAUGCUAAGUGUUGGAGGGUUUCCGCCCUUCAGU